rnacentral:rRNA from 1 species
GAUGAACGCUGGCGGCGUGCCUAAUACAUGCAAGUCGAGCGAACAGAUGAGGAGCUUGCUCCUCUGACGUUAGCGGCCGACGGGUGAGUAACACGUGGAUAACCUACCUAUAAGACUGGGAUAACUUCGGGAAACCGGAGCUAAUACCGGAUAAUAUAUUGAACCGCAUGGUUCAAUAGUGAAAGACGGUUUUGCUGUCACUUAUAGAUGGAUCCGCGCCGCAUUAGCUAGUUGGUAAGGUAACGGCUUACCAAGGCAACGAUGCGUAGCCGACCUGAGAGGGUGAUCGGCCACACUGGAACUGAGACACGGUCCAGACUCCUACGGGAGGCAGCAGUAGGGAAUCUUCCGCAAUGGGCGAAAGCCUGACGGAGCAACGCCGCGUGAGUGAUGAAGGUCUUCGGAUCGUAAAACUCUGUUAUUAGGGAAGAACAAAUGUGUAAGUAACUAUGCACGUCUUGACGGUACCUAAUCAGAAAGCCACGGCUAACUACGUG